rnacentral:rRNA from 1 species
GAUGAACGCUGGCGGCGUGCCUAAUACAUGCAAGUCGAGCGAACAGAUAAGGAGCUUGCUCCUUUGACGUUAGCGGCGGACGGGUGAGUAACACGUGGGUAACCUACCUAUAAGACUGGGAUAACUUCGGGAAACCGGAGCUAAUACCGGAUAAUAUUUCGAACCGCAUGGUUCGAUAGUGAAAGAUGGUUUUGCUAUCACUUAUAGAUGGACCCGCGCCGUAUUAGCUAGUUGGUAAGGUAACGGCUUACCAAGGCGACGAUACGUAGCCGACCUGAGAGGGUGAUCGGCCACACUGGAACUGAGACACGGUCCAGACUCCUACGGGAGGCAGCAGUAGGGAAUCUUCCGCAGUGGGCGAAAGCCUGACGGAGCAACGCCGCGUGAGUGAUGAAGGUCUUCGGAUCGUAAAACUCUGUUAUUAGGGAAGAACAUACGUGUAAGUAACUGUGCACGUCUUGACGGUACCUAAUCAGAAAGCCACGGCUAACUACGUG